AGGAGCGUCAGAAAAAAAUACCUAAAACAGGGGAAGUUACAAGAAAAUUUGUAAUGGAAGCUGCUGACAGAGAUGCAGGAAACAGAGCUGGAGCAGAGCGGAUCUCCUGUCGAAGAACAUCUCCAAAGCGCCAUGAAUCAUCUGACUAGGCAGUUCGUGAAGACAGAUAACCUGGACAGAAGUCAGUUCAAGAUACAGCCUCCACACCAGGCUUCUCACUCACAAGGAUUGCUGUCUACUAGAUAGUAUGUGUACUCUUCAGA